UACGUAGGGUGCGAGCGUUAAUCGGAAUUACUGGGCGUAAAGCGUGCGUAGGCGGUUCGUUAAGUUCGUUGUGAAAGCCCCGGGCUCAACCUGGGAAUGGCAAUGGAAACUGGCGGGCUGGAGUAUGGCAGAGGGGGGGUGGAAUUCCGCGUGUAGCAGUGAAAUGCGUAGAGAUGCGGAGGAACACCGAUGGCGAAGGCAGCCCCCCUGGGCCAAUACUGACGCUCAGGCACGAAAAGCGUGGGGGAG
rnacentral:rRNA from 1 species